AGAUGGAUACCUACUACAGAUGGUUCAGCUAAAAUAAAUGUAGAUGGAGGCCUGUCAACUUUGGGAGAGAAAGGGGUGGCAGCAGCUAUAUGCAGAGAUGGUGCGGGUGUUUUCUUGGGUGCUUCAGCAGUGGUAAUGGCUGGAUUGACGGACCCAACGACCUUGGAAGCCCUAGCCUGCAGCGAAGCACUCGCAUUAGCUGAAGAUCUGAACCUUCGUAACCUGACCAUCGCGUCGGACUGCUAUGAAGUGGUCAGAGACAUCAAGAAUGAAGCUUUCCCGUCCUAUGCGGUGAUUCUGAGAGAGAUAAAGCACACUAGUCUUAAUUUUGAUUCUGUUAGCUUUUGUUUUGAGUUUAGAGAGUCCAACUUUGAAGCUCACUCGUUAGCGAAGGGAGCCUCAACUCUGUCAGUUGGACGCCAUGUGUGGCUGGGUGUUACGCCUGAUAUUGCUUGUAUCCCAAACUUUAUGAGCUUUGAAUAA
rnacentral:rRNA from 1 species